rnacentral:pre_miRNA from 1 species
UAAAUACUCCCUCCGUCUGGAAAUACUUGUCAUCAAAAUGGAUAAAAGGAAAUGUAUCUAGACGUAUUUUAGUUUUAGAUACAUCUAUUUUUAUUCAUUUUGAUGACAAGUAUUUUCGGACGGAGGGAGUAGAAA